rnacentral:rRNA from 1 species
GACGAACGCUGGCGGCGUGCUUAACACAUGCAAGUCGAACGGCAAGGCCCUGCUUUCGUGGGCUUCUCGAGUGGCGAACGCGUGCGUAACACGUGAGUAACCUGCCCUUGACUUUCGUAUAACUUCACGUAACUGGGGCUACUCCAGGAUAGCAUACCCCGUUGCAUGGAGAGGGUUGGAACUUCUCGGCGGUCGGGGAUGGACGGGCGGCUAACCAGCUUGUUGGUGGGGUAGUGGCUUACCAAGGCUUUGACGGGUAGCCGGCCUGUGAGGGUGACCGGGCACAUUGGGACUGAGAUACGGCCCAGACUGCUACAGGGGGCAGCAGUGGGGAAUAUUGCACAAUGGGCGGAAGCCUGAUGCAGCAACGCCGCGUGCGGGAUGACGGUCUUCUGGGUGUAAACCGCUUUCGCCUGUGACGAAGCGGGAGUGACGGUAAUGGGUAAAGAAGCACCGGCUAACUACGUG